rnacentral:rRNA from 1 species
UACAGAGGUCCCAAGCGUUGUUCGGAUUCACUGGGCGUAAAGGGGGCGUAGGCGGUCGGGUAAGUCUGAUGUGAAAUCUCACAGCUUAACUGUGAAACUGCAUUGGAUACUAUCCGGCUAGAGGAAUGGAGGGGAGACUGGAAUACUUGGUGUAGCAGUGAAAUGCGUAGAUAUCAAGUGGAACACCAGUGGCGAAAGCGGCUCACUGGACCAUUACUGACGCUGAGGCACGAAAGCUAGGGGAGCAAACAGG